UACAGAGGUCCCAAGCGUUGUUCGGAUUCACUGGGCGUAAAGGGUGCGUAGGCGGUCGGGUAAGUCUGAUGUGAAAUCUCACAGCUUAACUGUGAAACUGCAUUGGAUACUAUCCGGCUCGAGGAAUGGAGGGGAGACUGGAAUACUUGGUGUAGCAGUGAAAUGCGUAGAUAUCAAGUGGAACACCAGUGGCGAAGGCGAGUCUCUGGACAUUUCCUGACACUGAGGCACGAAAGCCAGGGGAGCAAACGGG
rnacentral:rRNA from 1 species